rnacentral:rRNA from 1 species
UGGUGGAUGCCUUGGCACUAAGAGCCGAUGAAAGACGUGAUAAGCUGCGAAAAGCUUCGGGGAGGAGCAAAUAUCCUUUGAUCCGGAGAUUUCUGAAUGGGGAAACCUACUUGAGCAAACCUCAAGUAUCCUUAAGCCAAUACAUAACUUAAGGAAGGGAACCCGGUGAACUGAAACAUCUAAGUAGCCGGAGGAAGAGAAAACAACAUGUGAUUCUGUGAGUAGCGGCGAGCGAAAACGGAAGAGCCCAAACCAGUGUGCGUGCAUGCUGGGGUUCGGACCGCGGAAUUGAUUCAACAAGUUUAGCAGAACGGUUUUGGGAAAGCCGGCCAGAGAGGGUGAAAGCCCCGUAAGCGAAAGACGAGUUGACAUGGCGGGAUCCAGAGUACCACGAGACACGUGGAACCUUGUGGGAAUAUGCGGGGACCACCCCGUAAGGCUAAAUACUACUUAGUGACCGAUAGUGCAUAGUACUGUGAAGGAAAGGUGAAAAGGACCCCGGGAGGGGAGUGAAAAAGAACCUGAAACCAUAUGUUUACAAGCUGUGGAAGAGCUUUAUAUGCUCAACCGCGUACUUUUUGUAGAACGGUCCGGCGAGUUACGCUGGCUGGCGAGGUUAAGUCCUUAAGGGAUGGAGCCGAAGGGAAACCAAGUCUGAAUAGGGCGAAGAGUCAGUCGGAGUAGACCCGAAACCGGGUGAUCUAUCCAUGUCCAGGUUGAAGUUGCCGUAAAAGGCAAUGGAGGACCGAACCCACAUCCGUUGAAAAGGGUGGGGAUGAGGUGUGGAUAGGGGAGAAAUUCCAAUCGAACCCGGAGAUAGCUGGUUCUCCUCGAAAUAGCUUUAGGGCUAGCCUCAUAUAAGUCUUGCGGAGGUAGAGCACUGAAUUUCCUAGGGGGCGUCAAAGCUUACCGAAGAAUAUCAAACUCCGAAUGCCGCGUAGAUGGUGUAUGGGAGUCAGACUGCACGAGAUAAGUUGGGUAGUCAAAAGGGAAAGAGCCCAGACCUGCAGCUAAGGUCCCAAAAUGUGUGUUAAGUGGAAAAGGAUGUGGGAUUUCAAAGACAACCAGGAUGUUGGCUUAGAAGCAGCCAUACAUUAAAAGAGUGCGUAAUAGCUCACUGGUCGAGAGGUCCUGCGCCGAAAAUGUCCGGGGCUGAAACACACUACCGAAGCUCAGGAAUUAACGUAGUUAAUUGGUAGAGGAGCAUUCUUAAAGGGAAGAAGCAGUACCGGAAGGAGCUGUGGACUUUUAAGAAGAGAGAAUGCCGGAAUGAGUAGCGAGAGGAAGGUGAGAAUCCUUCCGGCCGAAUACCCAAGGUUUCCAGAGUAAAGCUGAUCUGCUCUGGGUAAGUCGGGGCCUAAGGUGAGGUCGAAAGACGUAGCCGAUGGACAACAGGUUGAAAUUCCUGUACUGCAGUAUAACAGAACUGUGGGGACGCAGAGGGAGAGCACUAGCGGGAAUGGAAUCCCGUGGCAAGCGAGGUAGGAGUAGAGUUGGCAAAUCCGCUCUAUAAUCCGAAGACGUGAUGCAUACCGAACUGAAGUAGGGAAAUGUGUGAGCCAGCUGCCAAGAAAAGCCGCUAUUGUUUGUACUGUACCCGUACCGUAAACCGACACAGGUAGGUGAGGAGAGAAUCCUAAGGCCGACGGGAGAAGCAUUGUUAAGGAACUCGGCAAAAUGACCCCGUAACUUCGGGAGAAGGGGUGCCUCGAAAGAGGCCGCAGAGAAUUGGCCCAAGCAACUGUUUAGCAAAAACACAGGUCUAUGCAAAACCGUAAGGUGAAGUAUAUGGGCUGACGCCUGCCCGGUGCUGGAAGGUUAAGGGGAGAGGUUAGCGCAAGCGAAGCUUUGAACUUAAGCCCCAGUAAACGGCGGCCGUAACAAUAACGGUCCUAAGGUAGCGAAAUUCCUUGUCGGGUAAGUUCCGACCCGCACGAA